CAAGUAGGACAAAUGAUCGCGGCUGUCGUAAGACAGGUGAGGAAAGUCCGGGCUUCAUAGGGCAGGAUGCCGGAUAACGUCCGGUGGAGGUGACUCCAAGGAAAGUGCAACAGAAAUAUACCGCCAUCGGUUCUCAAUGUGGGAACUGUGUGGAAGUUUGCGAAAGCAAACUUCUCGAGUUCGGCGUAAGCCGAAUCUCGUGGUAAGGGUGGAAAGGCAGCUUAAGAGACUACCGCCUGCACGGUAACGGGCAGGGCACAUGUAAACCCCAUCCGAAGCAAGACCAAACAGAAGGCGUUUGAACCGGCCCGGUGAGCCUUCAGGUAGGUCGCUGGAUGCUGCCGGUAACGGCAGCACUAGAUAGAUGAUCAUUCACGACAUAACCCGGCUUAUCGUCCUGCUUGGUUU
rnacentral:RNase_P_RNA from 1 species